rnacentral:rRNA from 1 species
CCUGGUGGCCAGAGUGGAGGUGAGACACCCGAUCCCAUUCCGAACUCGGCAGUUAAGCCCUCCAACGCCGAUGAUACUGCGGACCCUUCCGUGGGAAAGUAGGUCGCUGCCAGGAC